UUGGAGAUGAUGCAUCAAAAAACAUCUGACUUCCACUGAUGGUGUUUGUAUUCAUACUGUCUGAUCCAG
ensembl:snoRNA